CGUGCAGGCGGCCUGGUAAGUCCCGUGUGAAAGCCUACGGCUCAACUGUAGGAGGCCGUGGGAUACUGUCGGGCUCGAGGGCAGGAGAGGGAAGUAGAAUUCCCGGUGUAGCGGUGAAAUGCGUAGAUAUCGGGAGGAAUGCCAGUGGCGAAGGCGGCUUCCUGGCCUGUCCCUGACGCUGAGACGCGAAAGCUGGGGGAGCGAACGGGAUUAGAUACCCCGGUAGUCCCAGCCGUAAACGAUGGUCACUAGGUGUUGGGGGGCAAUCCCUCAGUGCCGAAGCUAACGCAUUAAGUGACCCGCCUGGGGAGUACGGCCGCAAGGUUGAA
rnacentral:rRNA from 1 species